CCUACGGGAGGCAGCAGUGAGGAAUAUUGGUCAAUGGGCGCGAGCCUGAACGAGCAAAGUCGCGUGAAGGAUGAAUGCCCUACGGGUUGUAAACUUCUUUUAUAAAGGAAUAAAGUGAGGAACGUGUGCCUUUUAGUCUGUACUUUAUGAAUAAGGAUCGGCUAACGCCGUGUCAGCACCCGCGGUAAUACGGAGGCUCCGAGCGUUAUCCGGAUUUAGUUGGUUUAAAGGUAGAGUAGAUGGGUUGUUAAGUCAUUUGUGAAAGUUUGCGGCUUAACCGUAAAAUUGCAAUUGAUACUGGCAGUCUUGAGUACAGUUGAGGUAGGCGGAAUUCGUGGUGUAGCGGUGAAAUGCUUAGAUAUCACGAAGAACUCCGAUUGCGAAGGCAGCUCUCUAACCUGCCACUGACAUUGAUGCUCGAAAGUGUGGGUAUCAAACAGGAUUAGAUACCCUGGUAGUC
rnacentral:rRNA from 1 species